AUUGAACGCUAGCGGGAUGCCUUACACAUGCAAGUCGAACGGAGUGGCGAACGGGUGAGUACUGUAUCGGAACGUACCCAGUAGCGGGGGAUAACUACGCGAAAGCGUAGCUAAUACCGCAUACUAUUGGAGCGGCCGAUGUCGGAUUGGCGAGUUGGUGGGGUAACGGGUCACCAAGGCGACGAUCCGUAGCUGGUGUGAGAGGACGACCAGCCACACUGGGACUGAGACACGGCCCAGACUCCUACGGGAGGCAGCAGUGGGGAAUUUUGGACAAUGGGUGAAACCCUGAUCCAGCCAUCCCGCGUGUGUGAUGAAGGCCUGCGGGUUGUAAAGUACUUUCAGCGAGGAGGCGUUACUCGCAGAAGAAGCACCGGCUAACUCCGUGCCAGCAGCCGCGGUAAUAC
rnacentral:rRNA from 1 species